UUCCUGGUGGCUCAGAUGGUAAAGCAUCUGCCUGCAGUGCAGGAGACCCAGGUUUGAUCCCUGGUUUGGGAA
rnacentral:tRNA from 1 species